GCCGUGGGCGAGGUUGCCAGCGGGGCUGUGAGCGCCUACCGGAUAGCCCUCGACCUCUCUCGACCUGCUGAUUCGUAAUCAGCAGGUCAGCGGUUCGAGUCCGCUCAUCGGCUCCA
rnacentral:tRNA from 1 species